GACGAACGCUGGCGGCGUGCUUAACACAUGCAAGUCGAACGGAAAGGCCCGCUUGCGGGUGCUCGAGUGGCGAACGGGUGAGUAACACGUGGGUAACCUGCCCCCUGCUUCGGGAUAACUCCGGGAAACCGGGGCUAAUACCGGAUAUUCAUUGCUGGCCGCAUGGUUGGUGGUGGAAAGUUUUUCGGCUGGGGAUGGGCCCGCGGCCUAUCAGUUUGUUGGUGGGGUGAUGGCCUACCAAGGCUUCGACGGGUAGCCGGCCUGAGAGGGCGACCGGCCACACUGGGACUGAGACACGGCCCAGACUCCUACGGGAGGCAGCAGUGGGGAAUAUUGCGCAAUGGGCGGAAGCCUGACGCAGCGACGCCGCGUGAGGGAUGACGGCCUUCGGGUUGUAAACCUCUUUCAGCAGGGACGAAUUGUGACGGUACCUGUAGAAGAAGCACCGGCCAACUACGUGCCAGCCGCCGCGGUAA
rnacentral:rRNA from 1 species